ACUAUGGCUCCUUCUAACCAGAACUAACUUAGAAUUGGAUUUAUAAAAUAUUCACUAGUUUCAAAAAGUAUGGACUUGUGCUAGGUAAUCUUUUUGCUGAAAUGCUGAUUUUUAUUCAGCCAACGAUACCACUUCAAAUAUCAGUUGUUCUGCAAAAGGUUAUCACUUCAAAUAAAAUUCAGCCGAAGGUACAAGUUUGACAAAAAUGCGCAUAUGGACUUGUGCGUGAAUAAACAAAACUUAACUAUUACGAAACGAAAAGUACAGGCUAUUUCAUUAGAACUAUCACUUAUUAUCCUAUAACAUUGGUUAUAAGUUUAUCAAGUAUCAUGACACAGACAUUAUAGUC
rnacentral:lncRNA from 1 species